GGAAUUGACGGGGACCCGCACAAGCGGUGGAUGAUGUGGAUUAAUUCGAUGCAACGCGAAAAACCUUACCUACCCUUGACAUGGCAAGAACCUCCGAGAGAUUGGAGGGUGCUCGAAAGAGAACUUGUACACAGGUGCUGCAUGGCUGUCGUCAGCUCGUGUCGUGAGAUGUUGGGUUAAGUCCCGCAACGAGCGCAACCCUUGUCAUUAGUUGCUACGCAAGAGCACUCUAAUGAGACUGCCGGUGACAAACCG
rnacentral:rRNA from 1 species